rnacentral:misc_RNA from 1 species
GAUGAAAACGCAGCGAAAUGCGAUAAGUAAUGCGAAUUGCAGAAUUCAGUGAAUCAUCGAAUCUUUGAACGCACAUUGCGCCCGCCAGUAUUCUGGCGGGCAUGCCUGUCUGAGCGUCGUUUCGACCCUCGCGCCCGGCUUCUGUCGGGGGCGGUGUUGGGGAUCGGCCACACCCUUCAGUGGGAGGCCGGCCCCUAAAUUCAGUGGCGACCACGCUGUAGCCUCCCCUGCGUAGUACUAAAACCACCUCGCAGGCGGAGAGCGGUGCGGCCCGCCGUAAAACCCCCCAACUUUUACAAGGUCGACCUCAGAUCAGGUAGGAAUACCCGCUGAACUUAAGCAUAUCAAUAAGCGGAGGA